AAUCCAUAGGUUAAUGAGGCGAACCGGGGGAACUGAAACAUCUAAGUACCCCGAGGAAAAGAAAUCAACCGAGAUUCCCCCAGUAGCGGCGAGCGAACGGGGAGGAGCCCAGAGCCUGAAUCAGCAUGUGUGUUAGUGGAAGCGUCUGGAAAGGCGCGCGAUACAGGGUGACAGCCCCGUACACAAAAGCGCAUGUGCUGUGAGCUCGAUGAGUAGGGCGGGACACGUGGUAUCCUGUCUGAAUAUGGGGGGACCAUCCUCCAAGGCUAAAUACUCCUGACUGACCGAUAGUGAACCAGUACCGUGAGGGAAAGGCGAAAAGAACCCCGGCGAGGGGAGUGAAAAAGAACCUGAAACCGUGUACGUACAAGCAGUGGGAGCACAGGUUUACCUGUGUGACUGCGUACCUUUUGUAUAAUGGGUCAGCGACUUAUAUUCUGUAGCAAGGUUAACCGAAUAGGGGAGCCGGAGGGAAACCGAGUCUUAAUUGGGCGUUAAGUUGCAGGGUAUAGACCCGAAACCCGGUGAUCUAGCCAUGGGCAGGUUGAAGGUUGGGUAACACUAACUGGAGGACCGAACCGACUAAUGUUGAAAAAUUAGCGGAUGACCUGUGGCUGGGGGUGAAAGGCCAAUCAAACCGGGAGAUAGCUGGUUCUCCCCGAAAGCUAUUUAGGUAGCGCCUCGUGAAUUCAUCUCCGGGGGUAGAGCACUGUUUCGGCUAGGGGGCCAUCCCGGCUUACCAACCCGAUGCAAACUGCGAAUACCGGAGAAUGUUAUCACGGGAGACACACGGCGGGUGCUAACGUCCGUCGUGAAGAGGGAAACAACCCAGACCGCCAGCUAAGGUCCCAAAGUCAUGGUUAAGUGGGAAACGAUGUGGGAAGGCCCAGACAGCCAGGAUGUUGGCUUAGAAGCAGCCAUCAUUUAAAGAAAGCGUAAUAGCUCACUGGUCGAGUCGGCCUGCGCGGAAGAUGUAACGGGGCUAAACCAUGCACCGAAGCUGCGGCAGCGACACUGUGUGUUGUUGGGUAGGGGAGCGUUCUGUAAGCCUGUGAAGGUGUGUCGUGAGGCAUGCUGGAGGUAUCAGAAGUGCGAAUGCUGACAUAAGUAACGAUAAAGCGGGUGAAAAGCCCGCUCGCCGGAAGACCAAGGGUUCCUGUCCAACGUUAAUCGGGGCAGGGUGAGUCGACCCCUAAGGCGAGGCCGAAAGGCGUAGUCGAUGGGAAACGGGUUAAUAUUCCCGUACUUGGUGUUACUGCGAAGGGGGGACGGAGAAGGCUAUGUUGGCCGGGCGACGGUUGUCCCGGUUUAAGCGUGUAGGUGUGUGUUCCAGGUAAAUCCGGUUCACUUUAACACUGAGGCGUGACGACGAGGCACUACGGUGCUGAAGCAACAAAUGCCCUGCUUCCAGGAAAAGCCUCUAAGCAUCAGGUAACAUCAAAUCGUACCCCAAACCGACACAGGUGGUCAGGUAGAGAAUACCAAGGCGCUUGAGAGAACUCGGGUGAAGGAACUAGGCAAAAUGGUGCCGUAACUUCGGGAGAAGGCACGCUGACACGUAGGUGAAGUGAUUUACUCAUGGAGCUGAAGUCAGUCGAAGAUACCAGCUGGCUGCAACUGUUUAUUAAAAACACAGCACUGUGCAAACACGAAAGUGGACGUAUACGGUGUGACGCCUGCCCGGUGCCGGAAGGUUAAUUGAUGGGGUCAGCGCAAGCGAAGCUCCUGAUCGAAGCCCCGGUAAACGGCGGCCGUAACUAUAACGGUCCUAAGGUAGCGAAAUUCCUUGUCGGGUAAGUUCCGACCUGCACGAAUGGCGUAAUGAUGGCCAGGCUGUCUCCACCCGAGACUCAGUGAAAUUGAACUCGCUGUGAAGAUGCAGUGUACCCGCGGCAAGACGGAAAGACCCCGUGAACCUUUACUAUAGCUUGACACUGAACAUUGAGCCUUGAUGUGUAGGAUAGGUGGGAGGCUUUGAAGUGUGGACGCCAGUCUGCAUGGAGCCGACCUUGAAAUACCACCCUUUAAUGUUUGAUGUUCUAACGUGGACCCGUUACCCGGGUUGCGGACAGUGUCUGGUGGGUAGUUUGACUGGGGCGGUCUCCUCCUAAAGAGUAACGGAGGAGCACGAAGGUUGGCUAAUCCUGGUCGGACAUCAGGAGGUUAGUGCAAUGGCAUAAGCCAGCUUGACUGCGAGCGUGACGGCGCGAGCAGGUGCGAAAGCAGGUCAUAGUGAUCCGGUGGUUCUGAAUGGAAGGGCCAUCGCUCAACGGAUAAAAGGUACUCCGGGGAUAACAGGCUGAUACCGCCCAAGAGUUCAUAUCGACGGCGGUGUUUGGCACCUCGAUGUCGGCUCAUCACAUCCUGGGGCUGAAGUAGGUCCCAAGGGUAUGGCUGUUCGCCAUUUAAAGUGGUACGCGAGCUGGGUUUAGAACGUCGUGAGACAGUUCGGUCCCUAUCUGCCGUGGGCGCUGGAGAACUGAGGGGGGCUGCUCCUAGUACGAGAGGACCGGAGUGGACGCAUCACUGGUGUUCGGGUUGUCAUGCCAAUGGCACUGCCCGGUAGCUAAAUGCGGAAGAGAUAAGUGCUGAAAGCAUCUAAGCACGAAACUUGCCCCGAGAUGAGUUCUCCCUGAGACUUAAAGUCUCCUGAAGGAACGUUGAAGACGACGACGUUGAUAGGCCGGGUGUGUAAGCGCAGCGAUGCGUUGA
rnacentral:rRNA from 1 species